AGUUAGCAGCUAGCCAUAAUUAAACGCGUUUGAAUUAGUUGAAGUAAGGACUCAUCAACUUGCACACGCACACUAACACACGCACUCACAUGCACAGAAGGCUCGGUGGGGGCUUGUUUUCACGCACGGAGGGGGUUUUCGGGGAUGUUUUGGUAGUUGUUUUUCUUUAGGGGGUGUGUUAGUGUGUGUGUUAGCUCCAUGCUAACUGCUUCCUGCAAGUUAGCCGGAGGUGGCUAGCUUGAGAAGCUAACUGUUUACCUGGUCGUUUCUUACGGUUGGUUUUAAUUAUUCAUGACGGCGCUCCGGGAUUGGUGGAGUCGGCGGCAGGGGCGGGGCUAGGACGGGUUUUUAGGAUAUGGGGGGAGGGCUUAUCCACGACACACACACAAACAGAUCUAUUUCUGUCACACACUUUGAGUGAGAGUGUGUGAUAAUAUUGGAAACAAAGGUGGGGGGUUUGAGGACGACAACAAGUGGACUGGUGCAGAAUCCUGCAGGAGGAUCAAUGUGAUUGGCUGACCUGUCCACAGGUGGAAGAUGAUCAGGAUGUCAUUGGACAAAGAGACAGUCCUCCCUCACGAGGUGCCCAUCAAAGUCAGCCCCACCUACCCUGCUACCGUCACCCUAUCAGAGCAGCCGCAACUGGCUAAGACCCGCCAACUCUGCCCAAAAAAUGGCCUCCAGCCACCUGGCAACAGCCAGCCCCCCCUCACUGGCCCGCCUCCCCCCGCCCAGCGAAUCGGAAAGAGGCGUUACUCCGUGGGCGUUGGCUUCAAGGGACUGGCAAAGCGCCGUCGCCGUGCCAACAGUGACAGCCAAUCAGAGCCUGUGCUACCAAGUCACUUUUUGUUGGGCGGGAACAUUUUCGACCCUCUGAACCUCAACUCGCUAUUGGACGAAGAAGUCAACAGAGCAACCAAUCAGGAGACACCAAAGUGCUCGCCCCUGCCGUCACGGGGCGGAGACCCUGUAGAGAUCCUGGUUCCCCGUGACAUCACUGAUCCCCUGAACCUGAAGGGAGGUGGGGGGGGUGGGAAGGGGGGAGGGGGCGUCCUACUGUCCCCCCUGAAGCCAAGGAGGAGACACAGAAACAGACACCAUGGAGGUGGCAGCGGAGGCGGCGGAAGCAGCGGAGGUGGAGGCGGCGGCGGCGGCGGAGUCGGAGGAGUCGGAGGAGUCGGAGGAGGGGGAGGAAGGGAGGUGAUACCAGCUCGACUGUUUCCCUCCACAGCUGGACUGACAGUUCCUCGGUUGACCACGGAGGGCAGUGUUUCUGCAUCUCCUCUUCCCUGUGAACUCAACACUGCCAUCACCUGUAGAGAUGACGUGGCCCCGCCCCCCAUACUCCCCAGGAGACACACCCACCCUCCGCCGAGCCAAGCCCACAAACCUGGAAGCCAGGGUGAAGGACGCCAACGGAGACGGCGACGCACCGCCUCGACAAGGUCGGCAGAAGGAGCUGCAAACGCUGUCACCGUGGCAACCGUGCCUCAGACAACCAAAUUCCAGACACCGCUAGUGGGAGGGGCUAAAGCUGGCAGGUGUGGAGGACCUCAUCCCGGCUCCGCUCAGCCACCAGAGAGGAAGAAGAAGGACAAACGCCGCUACCAGUACGGCAACCACAGCCGUUACUAUGGCUACCACGGUUUCUAUGGCAAUGGGUGGGAGGGGCGGGUUGGGGCGGAGGAGGACCCACGGCUCUGCCUCCUGGAAGCCAAUUGGUUCAGAGACAAGAUGGUGCUGGACGUGGGCUGCGCCGCUGGUCACAUGACACUGAGCGUCGCCCGAAGGUUUGACCCCGCCCACAUCAUGGGAGUGGAGCUGGACGAAAGAUUGGUCCACGCUGCCAAACACAACGUCAGGCACUUCCUGUCACAUGAUCUAGUGGUGGAGGAGAGGAGGAGGAGAGGAACAACGGUCCCCUCCUCCUCCUCUCCUACAAGGAAAGGGGGAGGAGAGAGGGAGGAUGGGGACAAGAAGAAUGAAGAGGAGGUGAUUGAGCAGAAAGAGAAGGAGGAGGAGGAGGUGGUGAUGGAGGAGUUCCAGCAGGCUCUGUCCCUCCUCUCUUUCCCCCUGUCGUUCAGGGUGAGUCGGGGUCCUCUCUCUGCUCCUCCUCUCCUCCUCCCCCCUCCCUCCUCCUCCUCCUCCUCCUCCUCGACAAGGUUCCCCAACAACAUCACCUUCAUCCAGGGCGACUACGUGUCAGAGUGUGAGCCGUGGCCAGGGCGGGGUCAGUAUGACGUCAUCAUGUGCAUGGGCGUCACCAAAUGGGUGCAGCUGCAGUCGGGUGACGUGGGCGUGGUCAGACUGUUCAAACGGGCCUAUCAGAGCCUGUUGCCGGGCGGAUUAUUCAUCCUGGAGCCACAGCCAUGGAGCAGCUACAGCCACAGCAAGAGGGCCUCGGAAACGACGUAUCGGAACUACAGGAGUAUUAGGCUGAGACCUGAACAUUUCACUUCCUACCUGACCGACAGCGUGGGCUUCACCUCAUACAGACUCCUCAAAGACACAGUUAACCAGCGGCCGAUCUACCUUUUCCACAAAGGCCCCGCCCAGAGGAAGUGAGGUCACCAGGACAGGAUGUGACACGUCUUUCUCUGAAGUCCAACAGGUGGAGGUGGAUUCAGGGGUGGCUUCUGUCCAGCUGCCCUUCAAAACCACAGCUCAUGUGCCUGAAGACAUCAAAGUGGAUCGGAUGGACAGUAACAGGAAGCUCCACGUGUAUCAGAACAGUUCUGAUACAGGAAGAGGUUCACACCGAACACCAAACAAAGAUGAAGGAAGACCUGCUGAAAACUGGAGACCUCAGUCUAACCCUGAAAUACCCCACAGAUGGAGACAAGUACACCUACACCUGCAGAGUCUACAACAGGGAGGGAGACAUCCUGAGAGAGAAAACAUUGCUAUUCAAGGUCAAAGAUGUCGGAGGAUCAGAGGAGGAAAAGCGAGACAUGAAAUGGAGGUCGAUGUGACAUGUGUAGACAGCAGCCAUCUUACACAUCCCGUCCGUCUGUUCUGCUUCUGUGUGCGUGUCCAUGUGUGUGUCCCGUCUGUGUGAUGCUGAUCUACAGUCCAAACUGUCCCCUUCCUCCGCCUGAACAUGGUGCAACACAUCUGUCUGUCUGCGUGUGGGAGGAGAGCCUCAUCUCUCCAUCCAUCCGUCACUGAUAAACAGAUAAGUGAGGUUGAGAGAGGAGGUGAGGGAACGAGGGAGGAAGAGAAAGAAUGAAUGAAAGACAGGAAGACAGGAGUGUUGAUGGGCACUAAUGUCAGGUUAUAAGUGGUUUCAGAGACGAGCCUUUUUAUGU